rnacentral:rRNA from 1 species
GACGAACGCUGGCGGCGUGCCUAACACAUGCAAAGUCGAACGGGGUGAAGAGCUUCGGCUUUUCACUUAGUGGCGAACGGGUGAGUAACGCGUGAGAAACCUGCCUUUCAGUGGGGGACAACAGUUGGAAACGACUGCUAAUACCGCAUAACAUACACGGACCGCAUGAUCUGUGUAUCAAAGCUUUAUGUGCUGAAAGAUGGUCUCGCGUCUGAUUAGCUAGUUGGUGAGGUAACGGCUCACCAAGGCGACGAUCAGUAGCCGGUCUGAGAGGAUGAACGGCCACAUUGGGACUGAGAUACGGCCCAGACUCCUACGGGAGGCAGCAGUGGGGGAAUAUUGGGCAAUGGGGGAAACCCUGACCCAGCAACGCCGCGUGAAGG